UACAGAGACUGCAAGCGUUAUUCGGAUUCACUGGGCGUAAAGGGUGCGCAGGCGGUCGGGUGUGUCAGAUGUGAAAUCCCGAGGCUCAACCUCGGAACUGCGUCUGAAACUACUCGACUAGAGUACUGGAGAGGGAAACGGAAUUCACGGUGUAGCAGUGAAAUGCGUAGAUAUCGAUGAGGAACACCAGAGGCGAAGGCGGUUUCCUGGACAGUUACUGACGCUCAGGCACGAAAGCAUGGGGAGCAAAAGGG
rnacentral:rRNA from 1 species